rnacentral:tRNA from 1 species
UGUGAGCCAGGUUGGUUUCUAUCUUUAAUUGGUUAAUAUAUUUUAGUACGAAAGGACCAGGUAUAUAAUUAAUAAUUUUUAUUUGAUAAAAAUUAUUAUUUUGGCAGAUUAGUGCAUUAGAUUUAGAAUCUUUUUAUGUAAAUUAUUACAAAUAA